CGAAAGUGGUGAACUGCCGAAUUUGGUCUUCUCCGAUGAGAAAAUAUUUGUUGUCCAGCAGUUUGUAAACAAACAAAAUUAUCAGGUCGUGUUUACUUGCCAAAGAGGUCAGCUGAAAAUGUGCAACUUCGCCGUCCAUGGCGAUGGUGUGGGCCGCCAUAACAGCUGAUGGUCGCUCUCCGCUCGUAUUAAUCGACCGUGUCAUCAGAACAAAUGCCGAAUAUUAUCGCGAAAAUAUUCUAGAGGUUGUAUUAAAGCCUUGGGCACGCAAACAUUUUGACCGCUGACCUUGGACAAUCCAACAGGACUCAGCACCAUCGCACUCAGCACGCGCCACCCAAGAAUGGUUGGAACAUGAG